UACGAAGGGGGCUAGCGUUGCUCGGAAUCACUGGGCGUAAAGCGCACGUAGGCGGACUCUUAAGUCAGGGGUGAAAUCCUGGAGCUCAACUCCAGAACUGCCUUUGAUACUGAGAGCCUUGAGUCCGGAAGAGGUAAGUGGAACUGCGAGUGUAGAGGUGAAAUUCGUAGAUAUUCGCAAGAACACCAGUGGCGAAGGCGGCUUACUGGUCCAGUACUGACGCUGAGGUGCGAAAGCGUGGGGAGCGAACAGG
rnacentral:rRNA from 1 species